rnacentral:rRNA from 1 species
AGAGUUUGAUCAUGGCUCAGGACGAACGCUGGCGGCGUGCUUAACACAUGCAAGUGGUGCGACGAACCAGACUUCGGUCUGGGGCAAAGCCGCGAACGGGUGAGUAACACGUGAGUAAUCUGCCCCGAUGACCGGGACAACCCGAGGAAACUCGGGCUAAUACCGGAUGAUGAGCCUUGGCGUAAGCCUUGUCUCUAAAGGAAGCUUCGGCCUCCGCAUCGGGAGGAGCUCGCGGCCCAUUAGCUAGUUGGUGGGGUAACGGCCUACCAAGGCGACGAUGGGUAGCUGGUCUGAGAGGACGAUCAGCCACACUGGGACUGAGACACGGCCCAGACUCCUACGGGAGGCAGCAGUGGGGAAUCUUGCGCAAUGCGCGAAAGCGUGACGCAGCAACGCCGCGUGGGGGAAGACGGCCUUCGGGUUGUAAACCCCUUUCAGGAGGGACGAAGGUUCACCGGUGAAUAGCCGUGUGGAUUGACGGUACCUCCACAAGAAGCACCGGCUAACUACGUGCCAGCAGCCGCGGUAAUACGUAGGGUGCAAGCGUUGUCCGGAAUCAUUGGGCGUAAAGCGCGCGUAGGUGGCUUCGUCAGUCCGUUGUGAAAGUCAAAGGCUCAACCUUUGAAUGCCGAUGGAUACUGCGGAGCUAGAGUACGGAAGAGGCGAGUGGAAUUCCUGGUGUAGCGGUGGAAUGCGCAGAUAUCAGGAGGAACACCAAUAGCGAAGGCAGGUCUCUGGGCAUUAACUGACGCUGAGGAGCGAAAGCAUGGGGAGCGAACAGGAUUAGAUACCCUAGUAGUCC